UGAUAUUAGGUCCUCAUUCAUAAUCCAUUGUUGUGGGUUGAGUAAUUGAGCAGAAUGCAUUAUGAGAGAUGAAAGGGACCAAUUGGCUGAUUGCCUCCUCAUCAUUCGACGCAAGGUAUUGGUAAUGGUUGCAUUGUUGUUAUGUGAUCGUCUACGUUUUCCAUUCUCUUAGAUUAGAGCUGCACUUCCUUUCUAUUCCACCGACGACGUCGACGACGAAGACUUACCUGCACUCUUUACCUGCUAGACCUUCACUCUAUACAAACCUGAGAUUAUUUAUUAUCUUUAUUAGUUGUUGUUACAGAUAGGAUGUGGCAAUUGAAGGUUGUUGUGAGGUCUGAACGCUGACCGACUGGAGUGGACCUUGAAGAAUCGUAGUCAUCAAUUCAUUUAUCGGUGAUGAGGGAUGAAAAGGGAACGCCGCCGCCGCCGCCGAAAGAGAUCCGAAUAUUAUCCAGUUCCUCUCCUGCGUUUGAAUGAUGGGAUACAUUUCAUGUGAUGAAACCAUGACUAACACAUUCCGCUUUUGACUACUUAUUACAGAUCGUGAAGGGGUAGGUAUGGGUUAUCUUUUGAUAUGUGUAAGGCUCCAGUCGCAUCAUCCCAGCCACGCAUAGCAUAAACUGUUGUAAACAGUUUCAUCGUUGCGUUGGCUUCGAAAGGUGAAUGAUUACGAUUAGUUAUGCAUAACCCUUUUGUUCUUUGGAUGCAAGAGGAACGAAUCGAGGUGACUUAAAAUGGAGCUGAAAUUGCCGAAACCCGCACCAAUUAUUUGCCUCUUCUUUAGAUGGAAAUGCAUAGAUAGUGAUAUUUAAGAAGGGUGGAAUACGUACGUAUCAUGAUUUCAUAAGCUGUUACUUCCUCCCCUACCUGAAUACUUAAUAAUGCUUGACCUAUCAUCACUAAAAUUAUAUUCUACCCAUUUUCCAUUCUAAAAUCAUCACUCUAAACUGAAAAAGCUUCUGAACAUUUGUGGAAGAGCCUUAAGAUUUAAAUUUUAAAUUGGUUUUAGAUCCCGAUAACCAUCAAUUUUGGAUUUAAUCCAUAUUUUCUUACAGCUCAAGGGCCCUUCGUUUAUCUGUAAUGAUAGCCAUCGCGUGACGUGGGAGAAAAGAGAACCCUUAAGAUAUUUGCCCAACUACUUCAACGCACUGUUAUUACUUGUGGCUUGCGUUAAAUCACAUUUAUUACCUCCCUGAAUUAACGUGUGUGUGGUAUUUAUUUCAUUGUUACGUCCGAAUAUGGUGUAGAUCGUGGUGAAAGGAAAAGAAGACGGAUGUUGAGUAUUAUUAAGUGACUAAUGUGUUAAUACGUCCAUUUCCCACCCGGCAUUCGCAACCUGGUUAGAGACUCGGCUCAAAAUAGAUAGUCAUGAUUUUUACGGAAACAUUGACCGCAAUAAUUUUAGUAUUCAGAACAAGAACGUAAGUAUUUAGUUCGACAUCUUGGUUCGUGUUGCAUCUUUCGACUUCCUUACACAAAACUGCAUCACGCAUGCACCUCUCUCAAGUCACUCUUUCUUAAGAAGAAGAAAAUUCAUGACGGGUUUCUGUAAUUAUCGUCAUUUAGAACAUUUUAUCUCUGUCCGUGUGUGUACUUCAAACAUAUUUGUGCCACACACCACUCCAAAAAUAAAGGAGACGAGAGGCUUCAACUAAUUAUCACUGUAUGCAGCGAGUUGAAUGGUCACUAAAAAAAGAAGUGCAGCUGCAGUUUGUUUCAUUUUACAAGCCUCAAAAUUUCCGUCCCGAUUAAUGCAAUUAUAUUUAAGAAUUUUUCUAAUGCGAACUUUCCCCUCCAGCUCUAACUAAAUUAACAAGUUGGGCAUAUCCACUGUACUAAAUAUUCAUCCAAUGUGUAAAUAACGCAGACUGGAAUUUCUCCAGAGGCGGUUGAUAAAGUAAUUCAUAUUUGAUGUGUAUUUGUUGUUCGUGGGCAUUCCCCAAGCUCCCAGAAAUUCUAGUCCGCUUCAUUCUUCGUCUUAUUCAUUCCUUGUGAUAUGCGAAAGAGCUGGGAGGAAAAAGCAAUAUUUUAUGAGUUAUGAGACUGAUGGGUCAUACUCAAUCAUUUCGUCGAUACCAUCAUCACAUGAGCGUAUGAUUGAGCUCUGGUUUAUUCUUCCCUGAUGGAUACAAAUGGACGAUCGUUUAUCUUUAUUUUUCGAAAUCCCUUGAUUAAAUUAGACGGAGACGGAUGAACCUGGAGAGAGAGAAAGAGUUGUGGUUAGCGUUGCCGGUAGCUGAUCCGACCAAUCCUCUGCAUUAUUAAAGAGAUCUCGGAGCUUGUUGUGGGGUUCAAGUCAGUCACUCGAACGAACGCAGUAAACAAACAAGAAGCGUAUUAUGCAUACCUGGUGCACCGUAUCGCUCAACCCGUGAUAAAUCAACAAGAACUAUGUAGAACUCGUACAAAGAUGUUCCAGAGAAGCUUGUGUACAUGUAGAAAAUUCUACUCCGACUCCAGCAUGCCCCACUCUUUUGGAACAGGAAAAAGGGCUACAUUAAUUUAAAUUAUGAUCAAUCCUGACCCGCCCUUUUACUUAUUUGUGAAGAUGGGAAGAAGUAAGUAAGUAAACGUAACGUAGUAGUACGUUUUUCAAACAUUUAUGGUUAUGACACUAAUGUGCAUAGCUUUAGUUAUGAAUUUAUCAAGUUGCUGUAGUUCUUGUAGAACAAGAGGAUGCGGGUAAAAACAACAAAC